AUGGAGGUGCUAUCAAGUGUUGUUCGACUAGGACAAUCGAUGUGCCUAUAUGUUCAUAGUUGUAUUAGAUUGCCCUAUGGGAUAGGGAACAUGGUUUCCUUAGAAAUGUUGUAUAACAUGAAGGUUGGUGGUACUAAUGCGACUGCGAAAGAGCUAGGGAAUUUGGUGGAGCUGAGGAGGCUUGGCGUUUGGUGGCUGGGAGAAGACGAGAGUGUGUGUAAUUCUUUGUUGGCGUCUCUCGACAAUCUGCGGAAAUUGUGUAGUCUAAGUAUUGAUCAUGUGGGAGAUGCAAGGUUUGAUUUCUGCUGGGACAGCUGGGUGCCCUGUCCACACCUCCACACCUUUAAGUUUACCCACUGUACCUCAACAUUGCCUAGAUGGAUUACCGCAUUGUUGUUUCCCAUUCUCUCCUACUUGCAUAUACAAGUGGAUAAAGUGAGGCCGGAGGUCGACAUUCAGAUCCUUGGGAAAUUGCCAGCUCUGCGUUUUCUCAGGCUGGAAACCACAAUAGCCCAGUCCACUCCUGUAGAAAGGUUCAUCAUUGGCGAUGAUGCAUUCCCUUUCUUGAGAGAGGGUAGGUUUUGCAAUUUUCUAAUGGGGCCAUCUAUGUUUCCACAAGGAUCUAUGCCCAGGCUUGAAUCUCUUCAAUUCCGUGCCCGAGCGUCGCACAUCGCCGAUGGUGACUUGGACGUCUACAUGGGACACCUCCUCUCUCUCCAAGAAGUCCAUAUUUCUCUUUGGUCGGAGGAAAACUGCUUGCAAGUUGCGGAAAGCAGCUGA
rnacentral:rRNA from 1 species